ACUACAAUAAGAUAGCUUAUUUAUUUUCACACACUUUCUGUUUCUGAGUCAGAGAAGUGAAAACCUGCUGCUUCAUUUUUUUCUCAACCUCCCUUUGUUUUAGCACUUAGUGUAAUCUGCAGUCUGUAAAUCUUGAGCAUCAUCACGUGUGGAAACAUAGAAGAAAAACCCUUGGUUUGGGUGGGAAGCAUGGCACCUCUUGCCUGCCCUCUGUGCCGGAGGAGGAUGCAUGGAGAGGCAGACAUUUAAUGGGAUGGGGCAAGACCACAAAUGACAGACCAAAUCUGGAAGCCGUCUGUGUCCCUCCUUUUGUUUCAUUUCAAAGUGUGUUGGUUUUUAUUUUUGCUGUAACCCAGUUGAGUGCCUGAAGGGGGUAGCAAUGUUGGAUAUGUCAAGAGUUACUAACUCUUUUGUUUCUCUUCCAUGCUUUCUCCUCCUGCAAGGAGCGGAAGGUUUUCAUAGAGCUGAAUCACAUUAAAAAAGUGCAAUACAGUGCGAGGAGUCUUUGUCCUGGAAGAAUUUGUUCCUGAAACUAAAGAAGUGGUGAGCCACAAGUACAAGACGCCAAUGGCUCAUGAGAUCUGCUACUCGGUAUUGUGUCUCUUCUCUUAUGUGGCUGCAGUUCGUGGGAAAGAAGCAGAAAGCAAAAGCAAGCCACCUCGCCCAGUCUCCAGCUGAUCAACACCACCACUGGAAAUUCAUUGGCCUGUAAUACUCCCUUUUCUAUGGCUGUUAUUGGAGCUCACAUAACCAUCUCUUAUGAAAACUUGUUUGUUUAUCUAUGGCCCUGCAAGUCCCCUUUACAAAAGUCAGACUUAACUAUUCAUUUGUGUGCUGAAGCUGUUCUUCUCCAGCACUUCUUGGCAUCCUUUCUAGAACUGAGUGUGGUCUGCUCUGGCCAGGCUCUUGGAAUUAGCUGUCCCAGACGAUUUGCUCACAUGAGGUUCGGCUCUCUUUAUUUUACAGUGAUACCAUUGUUUGACUUUUUAUUUAUUUAUAGAAUCAAGCCUCUGUUUUCAUAAUUUCUGUUAUGUAUGCGAUGAAAGCAACUCAGUGUUGCCUGGCUCACUCGUUGCUGCUGCUGCUGCUGCUAAUGUGCUUUACUGUACAUUAUUUUGUUCCUUGCUCUCCAGACUUAACUUUGUCAGCAUGGAAUUCCUUUCACGCGGCCCUUUUUUGUCUGCAAGCUGCUCCAACCCAUUCCACAGAAAGGCAUGGUUGUUAGAGAGUGGAAGCAAAACUACACACAUGUCUGGUCAUUGUGUCUUCAGAGGAAUGGGUGGAAAUCAAGGCACAGGAAGGAUGAUGCAGUCCAGUGUGCAUGUACUGUACAUAUUCUUUUAAACAGGAGACUAACAUUUUGCUGACAUUCCAGUUCAGUUCCGUAGUACAUGCUCAUAGUGAUAGACUUCUUCAUGGUAAACGUCUAGAAUUAAGUGAAGAAAGGCAAAUCACCACCACCACCACCAAAAUCUACACAGUGCUAUUGGUUAAAUCAUUACAUACUCACAUAAAGCUUCAGUAUUUAGAGCACCCUAUAAUUCCGUUGUAUAUUGUUGGAAACACAUCAAAUCAUAAAAUGGUUGUGAGGAUGCAAAUGUUUGUCCAUAGCACUGUAUAUCCUCAUUCCAUGUCUCCUUUUAGCCAUUGCUUCUGUCAAAUUGUACAUGUAUAUUAAAGAAUUUUGCAAACACCGUGCUACUGUGCAAUGAAGCCUCCCUCCCAGGUAAAGUAUCAUUUGAUUUUUUUAUUUCUAAGUAAGCUGGAAAAUGAAUAUUUAAUAUGCCUUUUAUUUUUUCAUGGACUGUACUGGACUCUAAUGCAAACAUGCACCAGGGUACUUGAAGGAGAGGAUCUGCAGUAUAUAACAAACUGUAGAACAUCUGACUGACUUCUCUGACUCAUUUUGGAGUACCAUACGAGUUCACAGGGUUUAUUGGCAAUCUGCCUCCAGAAAUCAUUGGGAUUGUUCCAUUCAGCUUGGUCUGUGUGGCUGUUGAAUGGACCGUGUAUUAUGAAUGAGUUGCCAGGGAGGGAGGGAAGAUGUACAUAUUUCAGCCCCACAUCUAUUUAUAGAAAGUGUACAGUUGUGUGAAUGUGAAAAUAAACUACCAUUAAACGAC